GAGAAAGUAAUCAUAAGAACUGCAAUUCUUAACCCCAUAUAUAAAUAUAGGCUUCCUCA
rnacentral:tRNA from 1 species